CAUCUGUGAUAAAUAUUCCAGGGU
rnacentral:siRNA from 1 species